rnacentral:lncRNA from 1 species
AACUCUAGCAAAACGAGAAAGACUUGUUGGGUGGCGUAAAGAGAGGAAUGAAGAUGAAAGCUACAUCCCUAGGAAAAGAGCAUACAAGACUCGAAAUAUGUUACUGCUUCAUGAUAUGGGGACAAAAAAAAAAUGCUUAAAUGCUUUUUUAAACGUAUUGAACUAUCCAAGAAGUUCAUUUUAUGCAAUCCGGAAAAUGUACAUAGAGGAAUAAACCACACUGCAAGCACUAGGUCGAAUGACCGGAACAAUGGGGCAUCAGCAAAGUACUUUAUAAUGUGGAUAAACUGGUUCUGCGCUAAGCAUGCUGACAAUCUGCCAGACAGUGUAAAAUAAGCAAAAUUUUACUGAUGUCCACAAAAAUGCCUCAAUUCUUCUCAUGAAUUCAUAAUAUUGGAAGAGACAAACAUCAAAAGUUGGCACAGUUACCAGACAAAUAAAUCAAGAUUCAGUCAGUGUCAUGUCAACAUGGAAUUAAAAGACAAACUUGCCACCUGUCAAGACAAGACACACAGAGAGGAACUAAUACAGAAGGGAAUGAAACAUUUAGAGCAGCAGCA